UAAGGAAUAUUGGUCAAUGGGGGCAACCCUGAACCAGCCAUGCCGCGUGCAGGAAGACGGCCCUAUGGGUUGUAAACUGCUUUUAUACGGGAAUAAACCCCUUUACGUGUAAAGGGUUGAAGGUACUGUAAGAAUAAGGAUCGGCUAACUCCGUGCCAGCAGCCGCGGUAAUACGGAGGAUCCGAGCGUUAUCCGGAUUUAUUGGGUUUAAAGGGUGCGUAGGCGGCUUGAUAAGUCAGUGGUGAAAGUUUGCGGCUUAACCGUAAAAUUGCCAUUGAUACUGUCGGGCUUGAGUACAGAUGAGGUAGGCGGAAUGUGUCAUGUAGCGGUGAAAUGCAUAGAUAUGACACAGAACACCGAUUGCGAAGGCAGCUUACUAAAGUGUAACUGACGCUGAGGCACGAAAGCGUGGGGAUCAAACAGG
rnacentral:rRNA from 1 species